rnacentral:rRNA from 1 species
CGACUGGCGGCGUGCUUAACACAUGCAAGUCGAACGGUAGUGGUUCUCCCGAGAAGUGACGAAGCUUGCUUCGAAAUGACUCAUUUGAAUCACUUAGUGGCGGACGGGUGAGUAACGCGUGGGUAACCUGCCCUAUACUGGGGGAUAGCAGUUGGAAACGACUGAUAAUACCGCAUAAGCACACAGCAUCGCAUGUUGCAGUGUGAAAAACUCCGGUGGUAUAGGAUGGACCCGCGUCUGAUUAGCUAGUUGGUGAGGUAACGGCCCACCAAGGCGACGAUCAGUAGCCGGCCUGAGAGGGUGUACGGCCACAUUGGGACUGAGACACGGCCCAAACUCCUACGGGAGGCAGCAGUGGGGAAUAUUGGACAAUGGGGGCAACCCUGAUCCAGCCGACGCCGCGUGAGCGAAGAAGUAUUUCGGUAUGUAAAGCUCUAUCAGCAGGGAAGAUAAUGACGGUACCUGACUAAGAAGCACCGGCUAAAUACGUGCCAGCAGCGGC